rnacentral:rRNA from 1 species
AUUGAACGCUGGCGGUAGGCCUAACACAUGCAAGUCGAACGCGAAAGUCCUUCGGGAUGAGUAGAGUGGCGGACGGGUGAGUAACGCGUAGGAAUCUAUCCUGUAGUGGGGGAUAACGUUUCGAAAGGAACGCUAAUACCGCAUACGCCCCAAGGGGGAAAGCGGGGGAUCUUCGGACCUCGUGCUAUAGGAGGAGCCUGCGUCGGAUUAGCUAGUUGGUGAGGUAAAGGCUCACCAAGGCGACGAUCCGUAGCUGGUCUGAGAGGAUGAUCGGCCACACCGGAACUGAGACACGGUCCGGACUCCUACGGGAGGCAGCAGUGGGGAAUAUUGCGCAAUGGGCGAAAGCCUGACGCAGCCAUACCGCGUGUGUGAAGAAGGCCUUCGGGUUGUAAAGCACUUUCAGUGGGGAGGAAAAGCUGGUGGCUAAUAUCCAUCGGCCGUGACGCUACCCACAGAAGAAGCACCGGCUAAUUCCGUGCCAGCAGCCGCCGUAAUAC